GCCUGGGUGGCUCAAUUGGUUGAGAGUCUGACUUCGGCUCAGGUCAUGAUCUCACAGUUCGUUGGUUCAAGCCCCACACCGGGCU
rfam:Felis catus isolate Cinnamon breed Abyssinian chromosome D4, whole genome shotgun sequence.